GACGAACGCUGGCGGCGUGCUUAACACAUGCAAGUCGAACGGAAAGGCCCUGCUUUUGUGGGGUGCUCGAGUGGCGAACGGGUGAGUAACACGUGAGUAACCUGCCCUUGACUUUGGGAUAACUUCAGGAAACUGGGGCUAAUACCGGAUAGGAGCUCCUGCUGCAUGGUGGUGGUUGGAAAGUUUCGUCGGUUGGGGAUGGACUCGCGGCUUAUCAGCUUGUUGGUGGGGUAGUGGCUUACCAAGGCUUUGACGAGUAGCCGGCCUGAGAGGGUGACCGGCCACAUAGGGACUGAGAUGCGGCCCAGACUCCUACGGGAGGCAGCAGUGGGAAAUAUUGCACAAUGUGCGGAAGCCUGAUGCAGCAACGCCGCGUGCGAAAUGACGGCCUUCGGGUUGUAAACCGCUUUCGCCUGUGACGAAGCGUGAGUAACGGUAAUGGGUAAAGAAGCACCGGCUAACUACGU
rnacentral:rRNA from 1 species